UACAAAUUUUUAUUAUAGUACAUAUAUUGGUUGUUUAUUUGAAAUAUUCACCGUUUUGAUUUAUAGAGUUUGUUUGUACUAAUUUAUUGUUUGAUAGUACUAGUUUUUUUUUCUUCCGAAACAUAUUUUUUUCGAAUAUACUAAAAUUAAUAGAAGUGGACUGAUAUCUGAUGAAUUUAAUCUAGAAAAGAGGUGUUCUGAGAUUCACCGGUUGAGGAUUUUGGAUUAUUUCAAACUGAUUUUAAUUUUUCUUAUCUAAUCUAAUUUUAAUUGCUUGGAUCAAAAUGACAUCAUAAGUUUUUUUUUUUUGAAGGAAAAUCACGCCGGAGGCUCUCUUCGAUGCGAUAGACGUCGCGCCGGUGAAAGAACCACGCCGGCGUUUGUCACGCUUCUGGGCGGCAGUACCGUUCUUCAACGCUUUUCCGGCGUCGACUUGGUCACCGGAGAGUAGGCAGCUAAACGUGAAGGGAUGACGAGAGCACUGGUGGUGUCGCGGUUUCGAGCGACAUCUACACAGACUACACCGGCUCAAUUUCCUCUCCUUCUCCAAUCAUGUUUCGCCGUGGGCUUGGCCCCCGGCGAGGACUUGGUAGCCGGCGUGGAUGACGGUGGCAGUUGACGACGAGAAGAGGAACGUCGCGGCUGCUACAGCAACAACAGCAAACCCUAACUGGAAUUUGGGUCAGACCCGGUUUCGCCAUCUGGGCUUUGGGUCAGACCCUCCCUGGAGAAGGGCCAUUGCUCUUGGGCCUGAGCUGUUGCUGCCCCCAUUUGCUCCACUCCCAGAGCACCUCCGCCGACCAGCUGAUCCUUCUCGCCUCAGCCCUAACUCUGGCGACGCACUGCCUGAUCACGGCGGAGAGCACCUCGAAAGGGGGGAAAUCGCAGCCCAGUUUUGAUCGGAGAUGGCUUAUGUUGACGUCGAAGGCUGGUAUAGCAAUCUAAAACCAACCUUCCGAUGGUUUAACAUAGUAUUCAAUUUUUAUUCCAAGUAUUCUCAUCCAUUAGAUUCUUUGAUGCCAAUUUUCAGCUAGCUUCUCAGAUUCACAAAUUGCACGAAAAUUGGAUUGGUAUAGCAAUAAAAAAACAACAACUGUCAAAUAGAGUAACGAAACACUCAAUGUUUCAAGCUUUCUCAUUUACCAGUGAAUUUUAUGUCAUUUUUCGUAGUUGAUUUGAUCUGAA